rnacentral:sRNA from 1 species
UAGACCCGUUAUCUUCUUUCUUUGUCGUUCUCCCUAUCGGAAACGUCUCACCUUCAAGUGUCUCUCACCUUAGAGCCUCUCAAACCCUUAUCAAAACUCUUGUUGAGGCUUAACGGAACCCAAACCCUCAUCGAAUGUUUAAUACCAAGCAUUGUCUCUCAUCUUUAGCCCUAGUCUGAAACCCAAAACAUCCCUUAUGAACCUUCUUUAUGGAGCCCCAUCUUGAAUCCUCAUUGUGGAACAAUCAUCAUUAAGAAUCUCAAGUUCUUCCGUCAAGAGCAAAAAGAAAAGGCUAAAAGAAAGUGAAGUCUUCCUCAUCAUUGUUGAAUGUUGCUUGGAAUGAAGUAAAGCACACUGAAAGGUGAAAGCGUUGACAAGGUGUGUUUGGGAAGAAAGCUAUGAUAAUAUAUUAUAGUGUAGCUUUAUUCUUGAUAUGAUUCUUAAGUCUUGGAAGAACUAUGGACGUUUUGCAAAACAAAAGCAGUGAAGUAUUAAACUAUAAUAAUCAUUCUAAUUUUCUUGAUCCAUAGAUAAUACUUAUUUAACGAAUUGUGUGGUGCUAGUUUCUCUUAAUUAAAAAAAAAAAAGCAAUUGGGGG